rnacentral:rRNA from 1 species
AGUGAACGCUGGCGGUAGGCCUAACACAUGCAAGUCGAACGGCAGCACAGGAGAGCUUGCUCUCUGGGUGGCGAGUGGCGGACGGGUGAGGAAUACAUCGGAAUCUACUCUGUCGUGGGGGAUAACGUAGGGAAACUUACGCUAAUACCGCAUACGACCUACGGGUGAAAGCAGGGGACCUUCGGGCCUUGCGCGAUUGAAUGAGCCGAUGUCGGAUUAGCUAGUUGGCGGGGUAAAGGCCCACCAAGGCGACGAUCCGUAGCUGGUCUGAGAGGAUGAUCAGCCACACUGGAACUGAGACACGGUCCAGACUCCUACGGGAGGCAGCAGUGGGGAAUAUUGGACAAUGGGCGCAAGCCUGAUCCAGCCAUACCGCGUGGGUGAAGAAGGCCUUCGGGUUGUAAAGCCCUUUUGUUGGGAAAGAAAUCCAGCUGGCUAAUACCCGGUUGGGAUGACGGUACCCAAAGAAUAAGCACCGGCUAACUUCGUGCCAGCCGCCGCCGUAAUAC